CCAGAAGGGGAGGGGAGGUGAGAGGAGCACUGUGCCAGAGGAACCCAAACCCACCCCGCAUAUGACUGGCGCUCAGGGAUCGAGGCGAGAAAGCAGCCAAACCAGGAGGGGCGCUGUGCGUCCAGCUGUGGAGGCCCAGCUGGUCACCCCCACUCUUUCACCUGCGCAAAGAGAAAUGGACACAGCUUCACCAAGGAAGAAAGUGAGUCAGCCCACACUCUUUCCCUCUUUCCACUGGACAUCUCUCAGGCUGCCCUGCAUGACUUCUUGCUCCACCUAAGGCUACUUUAGAUGCUGUCACUUAGCCUGAACAGUCAGAAUGUUGUAAUGGUUAAAUGCACAGCUCUGGAGUCAGCUGCCUGAGAUCAUAGCCCAUAUACAACACCCACAUAGCCAUGUGACCUUGAACAAGUUUCCAAACCUCUCUCUGACUGAAGUUUUCCAAGAUCUGCCUUAUAACAUUCAAUGAGGAAAAUAAGCUCUUUUAAGAUUUCCUGUUGCAGGGGCGCCUGGGUGGCCCAGUUGGUUAAGCGUCCGACUUCACCCAGGUCACGAUCUCGCGGUCCGUGAGUUCAAGCCCCACAUCAGGCU